GAACGCUGGCGGCGUGCCUAAUACAUGCAAGUCGAACGCUUUUUCUUUCACCGGAGCUUGCUCCACCGAAAGAAAAAGAGUGGCGAACGGGUGAGUAACACGUGGGUAACCUGCCCAUCAGAAGGGGAUAACACUUGGAAACAGGUGCUAAUACCGUAUAACACUAUUUUCCGCAUGGAAGAAAGUUGAUAGGCGCUUUUGCGUCACUGAUGGAUGGACCCGCGGUGCAUUAGCUAGUUGGUGAGGUAACGGCUCACCAAGGCCACGAUGCAUAGCCGACCUGAGAGGGUGAUCGGCCACACUGGGACUGAGACACGGCCCAGACUCCUACGGGAGGCAGCAGUAGGGAAUCUUCGGCAAUGGACGAAAGUCUGACCGAGCAACGCCGCGUGAGUGAAGAAGGUUUUCGGAUCGUAAAACUCUGUUGUUAGAGAAGAACAAGGAUGAGAGUAAAACGUUCAUCCCUUGACGGUAUCUAACCAGAAAGCCACGGCUAACUACGUGCCAGCAGCCGCGGUAAUACGUAGGUGGCAAGCGUUGUCCGGAUUUAUUGGGCGUAAAGCGAGCGCAGGCGGUUUCUUAAGUCUGAUGUGAAAGCCCCCGGCUCAACCGGGGAGGGUCAUUGGAAACUGGGAGACUUGAGUGCAGAAGAGGAGAGUGGAAUUCCAUGUGUAGCGGUGAAAUGCGUAGAUAUAUGGAGGAACACCAGUGGCGAAGGCGGCUCUCUGGUCUGUAACUGACGCUGAGGCUCGAAAGCGUGGGGAGCGAACAGGAUUAGAUACCCUGGUAGUCCACGCCGUAAACGAUGAGUGCUAAGUGUUGGAGGGUUUCCGCCCUUCAGUGCUGCAGCAAACGCAUUAAGCACUCCGCCUGGGGAGUACGACCGCAAGGUUGAAACUCAAAGGAAUUGACGGGGGCCCGCACAAGCGGUGGAGCAUGUGGUUUAAUUCGAAGCAACGCGAAGAACCUUACCAGGUCUUGACAUCCUUUGACCACUCUAGAGAUAGAGCUUCCCCUUCGGGGGCAAAGUGACAGGUGG
rnacentral:rRNA from 1 species